CCCUACGGGGGGCAGCAGUGGGGGAUAUUGCUCAAUGGGGGAAACCCUGAAGCAGCAACGCCGCGUGAAGGAAGAAGGUCUUCGGAUUGUAAACUUUUGUCUUCUGGGAAGAUAAUGACGGUACCAGAGGAGGAAGCCACGGCUAACUACGUGCCAGCAGCCGCGGUAAUACGUAGGUGGCGAGCGUUGUCCGGAAUUACUGGGUGUAAAGGGUGCGUAGGCGGGUGCGCAAGUCAGAUGUGAAAUCCCGGGGCUUAACCCCGGAACUGCAUUUGAAACUGUGCGUCUUGAGUGGAGGAGAGGUAAGUGGAAUUCCCAGUGUAGCGGUGAAAUGCGUAGAUAUUGGGAGGAACACCAGUGGCGAAGGCGACUUACUGGACUCUAACUGACGCUGAGGCACGAAAGCGUGGGGAGCAAACAGGAUUAGAUACCCGGGUAGUCCC
rnacentral:rRNA from 1 species